rnacentral:rRNA from 1 species
UGCCAGCAGCCGCGGUAAUACGGAGGGGGCGAGCGUUAUUCGGAAUUAUUGGGCGUAAAGGGCGCGUAGGCGGUCUUUUAAGUCAGGGGUGAAAUCCCUCGGCUCAACCGAGGAACUGCCUCUGAAACUGAAAGACUUGAGACCGGGAGAGGGUGGUGGAAUUCCCAGUGUAGCGGUGAAAUGCGUAGAUAUUGGGAGGAACACCGGUGGCGAAGGCGGCCACCUGGACCGGUUCUGACGCUGAGGCGCGAAAGUGUGGGGAGCAAACAGGAUUAGAUA